UGCCAGCAGCCGCGGUAAUACGUAGGGGGCAAGCGUUGUCCGGAAUUAUUGGGCGUAAAGCGCGCGCAGGCGGUUUCUUAAGUCUGAUGUGAAAGCCCACGGCUCAACCGUGGAGGGUCAUUGGAAACUGGGAGACUUGAGUGUAGGAGAGGAAAGCGGAAUUCCACGUGUAGCGGUGAAAUGCGUAGAGAUGUGGAGGAACACCAGUGGCGAAGGCGGCUUUCUGGCCUAUAACUGACGCUGAGGCGCGAAAGCGUGGGGAGCAAACAGGAUUAGAUA
rnacentral:rRNA from 1 species